UACGUAGGCAGCGAGCGUUGUUCGGAGUUACUGGGCGUAAAGGGUGUGUAGGCGGUUGUUUAAGUUUGGUGUGAAAUCUCCCGGCUCAACUGGGAGGGUGCGCCGAAUACUGAAUGACUUCGAGUGCGGGAGAGGAGAGUGGAAUUCCUGGUGUAGCGGUGAAAUGCGUAGAUAUCAGGAGGAACACCGGUGGUGUAGACGGCUCUCUGGACCGUAACUGACGCUGAGAAGCGAAAGCAUGGGGAGCGAACAGG
rnacentral:rRNA from 1 species